AAUAACAAUAAACAAACAAACAAACAAAAAAGAGGGAAAACCGUGAGUGGAGUUAGACCUCGGCCGUGGGAGGAGGCUGGGGAAGCCAUGCCGUCUCUUCCUCACCGAAGACGUCCACCGUUGCCAGGUACGGAAGGAGAAA